rnacentral:rRNA from 1 species
AGUGAACGCUGGCGGCAGGCCUAAUACAUGCAAGUCGAACGAACAUUCCGGGGUCUGUGGCGGCUGGGUGAGUAACACGUCGGAAGGUGACUUUAGGUAUGGACUAACUAAGGGACAGUUGUGAUAAUAGCGAACGUGCCCUAAGGGGGAAUGAUUUAUCGCACCUAGAGGGGCAAGCGUCGGAUUAGCUAGUUCGUUGAGGUAAUGGUUCAUCCAGGCGACGAUCAGUAGCUGGUAUGAGAGGAUGAUCAGCGACAUUGGGACUGAGACACAGCCCAAACUCCUACGGGAGGCAGCAGUGGGUAAUCUUGCGCAAUGGGCGAAAGCCUGACGCAGCCAUGCCGCGUGAAUUAUGAAGGUCUUAGAAUUGUAAAAUUCUUUCACCUGGGACGAUAAUGACGGUACCCAAAGAAGAAGCCCCGGCUAACUUCGUG